rnacentral:rRNA from 1 species
UACGUAGGGUGCAAGCGUUAAUCGGAAUACUGGGCGUAAAGCGUGCGCAGGCGGUGAUGUAAGACAGUUGUGAAAUCCCCGGGCUCAACCUGGGAACUGCAUCUGUGACUGCAUUGCUGGAGUGCGGCAGAGGGGGAUGGAAUUCCGCGUGUAGCAGUGAAAUGCGUAGAUAUGCGGAGGAACACCGAUGGCGAAGGCAAUCCCCUGGGCCUGCACUGACGCUCAUGCACGAAAGCGUGGGGAGCAAACAGG